rnacentral:rRNA from 1 species
GAUGAACGCUGGCGGCGUGCCUAAUACAUGCAAGUCGAGCGAACAGACGAGGAGCUUGCUCCUUCGACGUUAGCGGCGGACGGGUGAGUAACACGUAGGUAACCUACCUAUAAGACUGGGAUAACUUCGGGAAACCGGAGCUAAUACCGGAUAAUAUUUCGAACCGCAUGGUUCGAUAGUGAAAGAUGGCUUUGCUAUCACUUAUAGAUGGACCUGCGCCGUAUUAGCUAGUUGGUAAGGUAACGGCUUACCAAGGCAACGAUACGUAGCCGACCUGAGAGGGUGAUCGGCCACACUGGAACGGAGACACGGUCCAGACUCCUACGGGAGGCAGCAGUAGGGAAUCGGCCGCAAUGGGCGAAAGCAUGACGGAGCAACGCCGCGUGAGUGAUGAAGGUCUUCGGAUCGUAAAACUCUGUUAUUAGGGAAGAACAAACGUGUAAGUAACUGUGCACGUCUUGACGGUACCUAAUCAGAAAGCCACGGCUAACUACGUG